rnacentral:rRNA from 1 species
AUUGAACGCUGGCGGCAGGCUUAACACAUGCAAGUCGAGCGGUAACAGAGAGAAGCUUGCUUCUCUGCUGACGAGCGGCGGACGGGUGAGUAAUGCCUAGGAAUCUGCCUAGUAGUGGGGGAUAACUUGCCGAAAGGUAAGCUAAUACCGCAUACGUCCUACGGGAGAAAGGAGGGGACCUUCGGGCCUUUCGCUAUUAGAUGAGCCUAGGUCGGAUUAGUUAGUUGGUGAGGUAAUGGCUCACCAAGACCGCGAUCCGUAACUGGUCUGAGGGGAUGAUCAGUCACACUGGAACUGAGACACGGUCCAGACUCCUACGGGAGGCAGCAGUGGGGAAUAUUGGACAAUGGGGAGAACCCUGAUCCAGCCAUGCCGCGUGCGUGAAGAAGGUCUUAGGAUUGUAAAGCACUUUAAGUUGGGAGGAAGAGCAGUUAACUAAUAUUUGACUGUUUUGACGUUACCGACAGAAUAAGCACCGGCUAACUUCGUGCCAGCCGCCGCCGUAA